rnacentral:rRNA from 2 species
UGGGGAAUAUUGCACAAUGGGCGAAAGCCUGAUGCAGCGACGCCGCGUGAGGGAUGACGGCCUUCGGGUUGUAAACCUCUUUCAGCAGGGACGAAGCGAAAGUGACGGUACCUGCAGAAGAAGCGCCGGCCAACUACGUGCCAGCAGCCGCGGUAAGACGUAGGGCGCGAGCGUUGUCCGGAUUUAUUGGGCGUAAAGAGCUCGUAGGCGGCUUGUCGCGUCGACUGUGAAAACCCGUGGCUCAACCAUGUGGUCUGCAGUCGAUACGGGCAGGCUAGAAUUCGGUAGGGGAGACUGGAAUUCCUGGUGUAGCGGUGAAAUGCGCAGAUAUCAGGAGGAACACCGGUGGCGAAGGCGGGUCUCUGGGCCGAUAUUGACGCUGAGGAGCGAAAGCGUGGGGAGCGAACA